GGGUUUGUCAUGGUGCCUCAGAUCCUGCAUCUGUAACACACACUCAGGGUCAUGCCAUUGCUGCUCAGACUUGGACACCUCAUUGAGGAGCGAAGAAGAAAGAAGUUGGAUCUACACUCUCCCAACUCUGUGACCCUAAGGACCUUUCAGACUUACUUUCUCCAACAGGAUUUCCACUCUCUCACUUGCAAAGUGAAGCACUGGACUACCCCAGCACUCUACUCAUGGAAUAUGAUCAUUGAAUAAACAAAAUGAUAAGUUAAAUGAAGAAAACUUCUGCUCUGAA